CAUUCCCUGCCUUAGUUCUACGCGGCCAGGGUCCGUUAUCACCGCCAGAGGAAUCAGAAGCUAGUUCAUUCAGCACAGGGAUCUAUCUGUGUACUGUCUAUUUAGAACUUACAAAGGAAGGUGCUACUUGCCUCCCUAUGUCAGUGAAUCUGCUGGUGUUUCCAUGUGAUAGGGUAGUGGGGUAUAUGGUAUCACUGUCGUCGUCGCUGUCCUCAUCGUCGCUGUCGUCCUGGUAGUAGUGGUAAUAGCCACCACCUCGGUUUAGGUUGCUCAUGGUCUGCCUGUUGUUACACAGACAACAUAAGGCUCUGAACAGCAUCCAGACCAUGCUGGAGGCUCGGCUCAUAAGCUGCGCACUUUGUAAGUAUACGGGAAAGCACGUUGGUAUCGUGAACCAGACAUCAAACGCUUGAUAGUACAGACACCUUGGGCUAUCCGAUAGGACCGUGCAGGGAGAUGACGAGAGCUACUACGAGCGGGUCCAGAGAGCAUCUUUUCCGUUGCGAGAAGGAGCUUGCCGAAGCCGCUCUGGAAGACAGAGGGAGCUCCUAAGUAUUAGACAUCUUCAGAAAACGUGAGCUGAGUCAUCGUGAAAGAGUUCAGUGUGACAAUGUCGACUACGAGCGUUACGGGUUGAUCCCUAUCCAUCGGGACGUCAACUCCUAGGCUUACAGCCAGAGAGGGAAAAUCACUUUCAUCUGGAGAAGCUCGUCCGGUAACACGGGGCGGCCCAUCUGCAGGUCCCCGCUGUUCCUAAAAGAAAGAUUAAGGAUUUGAGUUGGCCUGACGGAGAGAUCUUCCAGGCGACUCCGGCCCAUGGAGGAUGCAGAGCAUCACAUCAGAUCAAACAUUGAUAAACCAGUACUUUACCAGCGUUUUAUCAAUAUCUUUAAAGGACGGGGAGUUUUUGCCACUGAAUUCAUAUCCAAAGGAGACUUUGUUGUGGAGUACCGAGGUGAACUGCUUACACAACAGGAGGGCGAGGUCCGAGCUGAUCAGUACAAUGAUUCUGCAAAGGUGUUUCUUUUCGAUUUCCAAUGGAAAGGAAGAACAUGGUGCAUUGAUGCAUCUGAAGAAGACUCCUCCCUUGGGAGACUCGUUAAUGAUGAUCACUAAAGACUCAAUCUCAAAAUGAAGGCCAUACAAGCAAACGAUGAGCCACAC